GACAGGGCGAAAGCUGAUCCUCAAUACCGCGUGUGUGAAGAAGGCCUUAGGGUUGUAAAGCACUUUCAAUUGGAAGGAAAAACUCAUGGCCAAUACCCGUGAGCUUGACAUUACCUUUAGAAGAAGCACCGGCUAACUCCGUGCCAGCAGCCGCGGUAAUACGGAGGGUGCAAGCGUUAAUCGGAAUUACUGGGCGUAAAGCGUGCGUAGGCGGCUCGCUAAGUCAGAUGUGAAAGCCCCGGGCUCAACCUGGGAACGGCAUUUGAAACUGGCAAGCUAGAGUUUAGGAGAGGAGAGUGGAAUUUCAGGUGUAGCGGUGAAAUGCGUAGAGAUCUGAAGGAACACCAGUGGCGAAGGCGACUCUCUGGCCUAAAACUGACGCUGAGGUACGAAAGCGUGGGUAGCAAACAGGAUUAGAUACCCUGGUAGUCCACGCCGUAAACGAUGUCAACUAGCCGUUGGCUCUCUUAGAGAGUUAGUGGCGCAGCUAACGCAUUCAGUUGACCGCCUGGGGAGUACGGCCGCAAGGUUCAAACUCACAUGAAUUGACGGGGGCCCGCACAAGCGCGGGAGCAUGUGGUUAA
rnacentral:rRNA from 1 species